rnacentral:rRNA from 1 species
CCUAUAAGACUGGGAUAACUUCGGGAAACCGGAGCUAAUACCGGAUAACAUUUAGAACCGCAUGGUUCUAAAGUGAAAGAUGGUUUUGCUAUCACUUAUAGAUGGACCCGCGCCGUAUUAGCUAGUUGGUAAGGUAACGGCUUACCAAGGCGACGAUACGUAGCCGACCUGAGAGGGUGAUCGGCCACACUGGAACUGAGACACGGUCCAGACUCCUACGGGAGGCAGCAGUAGGGAAUCUUCCGCAAUGGGCGAAAGCCUGACGGAGCAACGCCGCGUGAGUGAUGAAGGGUUUCGGCUCGUAAAACUCUGUUAUUAGGGAAGAACAAAUGUGUAAGUAACUGUGCACAUCUUGACGGUACCUAAUCAGAAGGCCACGGCUAACUACGUGCCAGCAGCCGCGGUAAUACGUAGGUGGCAAGCGUUAUCCGGAAUUAUUGGGCGUAAAGCGCGCGUAGGCGGUUUCUUAAGUCUGAUGUGAAAGCCCACGGCUCAACCGUGGAGGGUCAUUGGAAACUGGGAAACUUGAGUGCAGAAGAGGAAAGUGGAAUUCCAUGUGUAGCGGUGAAAUGCGCAGAGAUAUGGAGGAACACCAGUGGCGAAGGCGACUUUCUGGUCUGUAACUGACGCUGAUGUGCGAAAGCGUGGGGAUCAAACAGGAUUAGAUACCCUGGUAGUCCACGCCGUAAACGAUGAGUGCUAAGUGUUAGGGGGUUUCCGCCCCUUAGUGCUGCAGCUAACGCAUUAAGCACUCCGCCUGGGGAGUACGACCGCAAGGUUGAAACUCAAA